CUCUCCAUGGUCUCCCUUCCCGACCUUUCCUCUCUCUCACGAUCUGCGGACGCAAACCUCGAUCUCCAGUAUGCUUCUCUAGAUGUCGACUUUCAGCGACGGCGCCCACCGCAAGGCUUGGUCAACCCCUCCCACUAGCAGAUCCUAGGUGUCUUCUCCGACCACGACCUCAACCUUGGGCGGAUCCUAGGUCCGGCGCCAGCACCGGCUCAUCCAGCGGACCAGAAGAACACCAAGAAGAGUGCGCCGUCCAACACGCGGAAGGCUUCUUGUGCAAAGAAGGCACCGGGAUGGUUGUUGCAUGUUGAUCCAGAGAACAAUGUCAUACAAGAUAAAAUUGUCGCUCCUGCUGUUUCAUUUAGAAGAAGUCAUCUUCAUAGCUGCUCCCAACAUCUUAGGCUUAGCAACACAACUGCCAAUUGGCCAAAAACAACUCUUGCUAAUACGCCAAAAUUCACACCUUUAAUCAUCACACCUUACUUGUUUCCUUUAAGUAGAUCAAAGGCAAAGUCAAGGAACCUUCCAUGAGUGCCUUUGGUCGGGUAAAUAAGUAGAAACAAACGGAUAACAAGAGGUACAAGACGAGUGAUGCUCAGCAAAAGAGGGUGCUGGAGAAACCAAAGAUGGAUCAAGGAUGGCAAGCAGCAAAAAGACACUUAGAUAUGGGUUAUAAAGGUGCCAUAUUUUUAUCUACUUAAUCCUCUUCCAUCUCAUUUU